AAGCAGUAAGGACAGAGAGGCUUUAGAGAAGGUAAACAAGAAUUUAUUUAUUUAUUUUUUCAUUAUUGAUGAACAGAAAAACAAGAAUGUCCAGUAGUUUCUUGGAGACUUUCAGAUGAACCAGCUUUAUUUUAUGGUGUUAUUUGUUGUCUGUAAAAGCUUAUAGGAACCUGGAUCAGACAUGGAAACAAUGAACGUAGAGAAUGCAACUUGUCUACUUUUUCCAUUAACCCAUUUUUCAUUUCCAUCGGUUUAUUUUAUUAGGAAAACGUUAAAAACGCGCCUGGAACACUUGCUAAGUCUUUCAAAAUAUUAUUUGUAAAUAAUUAAACUUUCUACUCGAAGCAAUUUUCUGCAAAUGUACACUUCCCUGAUAUCCAAGGCACUUUGAAAAAAAAAUAUAAUUUCCUAUAUUACUUGUAAGUUAACUCAACUAGUGCCUUAGAGCCGCUUAUUAAUUAAAACUCAUCUUAUUAUUUUAAUUUCUUCUUCUUCUUCUUUUUAAAUUUUAGCAUGCUAGCCAUUGAAAUUGACCAUUCCAAGAACGUCCAGAUUGGGGAAUCAAAUCUUGUUUGCACGAGGCAAGUGAUAAGGGAGGAGAGACAAACGUCUGCGAGCCAUGAAUUUCCUUUUGUAUUUUUAUGUUGUUGCCUUCGGAUUAGUCUUGGGGCAAAAAAUAUUUUAUCUCCAAGUCAUCUAGUUGUCGUUUUUCCAUUUUUCUCUGAGAAAUCAAUCAGAGUUGUGGUCUUUCGGUGUCUUCUAGAAGGUAAAACCAUGACACAGAAGCGAUUCCAUGAUUUGAGGAGCUUAGCAUUGCCUGUUGGAAGCUACUUCGAUUCUUCUUCCUUAGUCUCUUAGUCCAGCGAAGAGGCUGUGAGAUCCAAUAACUUUCGGCACCACACUGUUAGAUGCAAAUUUCACGGCGCAGCUCGCGGAGUUCUGGAAAGGUUGGUCACGCUGGAAGGAAAAUGGAGAAAAAGUGGAAAGUCAAGAGUUAAAAAAGAAGAACAAAACAAGAGUUCCACAUGCCAACAGAGAGGGAACCAAUGAUGCAUGUGUGACACACAAGCAAUCCAUGAUGAUCCCAACCCAAAGCCACAAAUCUAUGUUUACAAUUUCGUGCUGAUCACGGUGGAAAAGAAGAAGACUACGUCAUUAUUCUGCGAUUCCUUCGCCAAUAACAGUAUGCACGAGUUGGAAGUCAAGAGUCAUAGUUGAAAUUAUGGCGAGGCCAGUAAAGCACAGAUCAUCCCAAUCUCACAGUCUAUUUCUAAGUCUUCAGGGUACAUAGGGAAAGAGGAGGCAACGAAUAAAAGGCGGAGUUGUCCAAUUGAAGAUUUACGUACGCGUACUUUGUAUAAAUCUGCUAUAGUAUCUAAUUAUUUAUAGCAUUUUCUGUAUUGUGG
rnacentral:lncRNA from 1 species